rnacentral:SRP_RNA from 2 species
UGCCGGGCCCUGUGCGCUGGAGUCGCGUUAACGAGUCAGAUGGGGAACCAAGCAGCUACUUACGAUGAAACCAGGCGCCGCAGGUGUUCCUGUCGGGA